rnacentral:rRNA from 1 species
AUUGAACGCUGGCGGCAGGCCUAACACAUGCAAGUCGAGCGGAUGAAGGGAUCUUGCUCCUGGAUUCAGCGGCGGACGGGUGAGUAAUGCCUAGGAAUCUGCCUGGUAGUGGGGGAUAACGUCCGGAAACGUGCGCUAAUACCGCAUACGUCCUGAGGGAGAAAGUGGGGGAUCUUCGGACCUCACGCUCUCAGAUGAGCCUAGGUCGGAUUAGCUAGUUGGUGGGGUAAAGGCCUACCAAGGCGACGAUCCGUAACUGGUCUGAGAGGAUGAUCAGUCACACUGGAACUGAGACAAGGUCCAGACUCCUACGGGAGGCAGCAGUGGGGAAUAUUGGACAAUGGGCGAAAGCCUGAUCCAGCCAUGCCGCGUGUGGGAAGAAGGUCUUCGGAUUGUAAAGCACUUUAAGUUGGGAGGAAGGGCAGUAAGUUAAUACCUUGCUGUUUUGACGUUACCAACAGAAUAAGCACCGGCUAACUUCGUG